rnacentral:lncRNA from 1 species
UAGAAUUUAGGGUGGAUAUCUACAUGCAGGCUUCCUAUACAUGUGCCUGAAUUUGGCUCACGUUCUGUUAAAUUGGUCUCUGGUGAAACAUGAUUGGUCUGUGAGGGUACGUAUGUAGCUAGGUUUGCACGUAGUAUAAGUGCACUACGAAGGGAUCAUUUUGCCCGUAGGAACAAUAAAAGUUCUAUGCAUAUUCUGUCGUGCGCAUUGGUGGAAAGUAUAUAUAUUGUCGGGCGAGUUUUAGCUUCCAAGGUUGCACUCUCUCUAUCUAGCCAUUAUAUCAGUAAAGGAAAGGUUCAUUUUUGUGAAUAUGACCAUCGCCGGGUUUACAUCUGGUCUCUAAACCCUACAACCUGACAAGCUUCACCCAUGACGUUUACAUUAUUUAAUUCAUUUUUUUUUCAAAAAUCAGCCACUUAGAAGUGUAGAUCACUCCUGUAAAAAUUACAUUACCUAAAAUUAAAAUCUUAAUAACAAUAAGCAAAAUGAAACUACAAAUUUAUUAAGUGAGAUUAAGAUUAGGAUGUUCGACCUUGUUUUCUAAGGCUUUCAGACUCCCGAAGUGGGGGCAUAGCAAGUAGUAGCAUCAAUGUAUCAUGCAUGCUAAGUUGCUAACUUGGCAAUUUGGUUGAGGUGCAAUGCCAUUAAAUGAAGAGCAUAUUAAGCGAUGUGUCACUGUGCGCCAUGCAAAACAAUAAAUGUGUUCAUCUAAAUACUAACAUAGAUACUAUGCACUGCAAAAGUAGUACUAGUGUGUGAUAUACUCCACCAGAAGUAGCCUUAGAAAAAGGACCCAAAUGCAAAGACUUGACAGCAAAAUAAGUAGACAAUUAAUAGCGAUUAAUUUUAGACAUAUUUUGUCCACGAGCCACUUUAAAGAUACAACCAAUGACACUGCUAUAUGUCAAUUGGGCCAAUUGGAUUGGGGGUCGGGGCGGGGGCGGGGAGCCUCUCACGCCGAUUAGACCUAAGUAAUGACUUGGACCGCCUCAUCAUCGCAACCAAGGGGCUGCCAAAACCUUUCUUUCUGAGAUUUGAUAAUACGUGUGUAACACCCUCGAUGCGACUAUAGCUCCCACGUGUCGAGGCACGACUUAGAGACAUAAUCGCACUGAAGGCAUAUGUCGCAAGUUAGGCAAUCUUCAUAACAUCCCAUGCAAUAUAAUGAUAAAAGGGGAGAUAACAUAGUUGGCUUACACUCGCCACGUCAAUCAAAUACAUAAAUAACAUUACAUCAUCCAAAACACUCAUGGCCCGACUACGGCGCCAAAAUAAAAGAGAACCCAACAUGCGACAACGGUCCCGUUCACCCCCAACUGGGCACCACUACUGAUCAUCGGGAAAGGAAACAUAGUAUCGCUGAGAGUCUUCGUCGAACUCCCACUUGAGCUCGUACUCGUCACCUGGAGCGGAAUCACCUGGACCUGCAUCUGGAGUUAUGGUAUCUGUGAGCCACAGGGACUCAGCAAUCUCGCACCCUCGCGAUCAAGACUAUUUAAGAUUAUAAGAAGGGUAAGGCAAAACAUAUGUGGAGCUACAGCAAGCGACUAACAAGUAUGGUGGCUAACUUAUUCGCAAAGGAGAGCGAGAAGAGGAGGCAAAGCGCGAGCGAGAAACUAGAGAGCUACCUGCGCAAACAUUACUCCAACACCGUGUCCACUUUCCGGAUUCCGCCGAGAAGAGGCCAUCACGGUAACACACUCGGUUGAUUCAUUUUAAUUAAUUUAAGGUUUAAGUUAUCUACAACCGGACAUUAACAAAUUUCCAUCUGCCCAUAACCGCGGGCACGGCUUUCGAAAGUUCAAUCCCUGCAGGGGAGUCCCAACUUAGCCCAUGACAAGCUCUCACGGUCAACGAAGGAAUAGACCUCCUCUCAAGACGUUCCGAUCAGACUCGGUAUCUCGGUAACUCAAGACACUUCGACAGGUUAAAACAAGACCAGCAACACCGCCCGAAUGUGCCGACAAAUCCCGAUAGGAGCUGCACAUAUCUCUUUCUCAGGGCACACUCAGAUGAGACAUCCUACGAGUAAAACCAACCCUCAAGUUGCCCCGAGGUGGCCCCGCAGUCUACUCGGUCGGACCAACACUCAGAGGAGCACUGGCCCGGGGGGGGGUUUAAAAUAAGAUGACCCUUGGGCUCCGGUAACCCAAGGGAAAAGAGGCUAGGUGGCGAAUGGUAAAACCAAGGUUGGGCAUUGCUGGAAAAGCUUUAAUCAAGGCAAACUAUCAAGGGGUUCCCAUUAUAACCCAACCGUGUAAGGAACGCAAAAAUCCGGGAACAUAACACCGAUAUGACGGAAACUAGGGCGGCAAGAGUGGAACAAAACACUAGGCGAGAGGCCGAGUCUUCCACCAUUUACCAAGUAUAUAGAUGCAUUAAGAUAGCAAGAUAAUAUAAUGAUAUCCCAACAAGUAAAUAAAAGAUGUUCCAACAAGGAACGGCCUCCAAUCUUCACCUGCAACUAGCAACGCUAUAAGAGGGGCUGAGCAAAGCGGUAACAUAGUCAAUCAACGGUUUGCUAGGCCAAUGAUGGGUUAGAGGCUUGACAUGGCAAUUUGGGAGGCUUGCAAGCAAGUGGUAGGCAUCGUAGCAAUGGCAUAGCAAAAGAGCGAGCAAACUAGCAUAGCAAAGAUAGUAGUGAUUUCGAGGGUAUGAUCAUCUUGCCUGCAAAGCUGUCAGAGUUGACUGGAUCCUCAAAAGCAAACUCAACGGGCUCCUCGUUAGUGAACUCGUCUCCCGGCUCUACCCAAACAAGACAAACAAGCAACAAGGAUAUAAUCAACCACGUGCAAACUCAAUCAACACGAUGUGAAGAUGAUAUGCUAUGCGGGAUGCUAUGCGGGAUGCAAAAUGCAAGAUAUGACAGGAAAUGCAUGAACCUGGCCUCAACUUGGAAUUUCAAGGGUGCCACUGGAAAGAUGAGAUGAAAUCGCUUGAAAACGAUAUAAAGAACGCCGGAAUCGGAGUUACGGUUUGGAAAUGGCAAGCGUUUCAAAUAUGACACCGGUCUACGAUUUACAGCAAGUAGGCAUCUAAAUGCAAUAAAAUGAACAUGCUACAGCCCCCAAACAUGACAACAAAAUACAUGGCAGGGAUGCACACAAGAUGCUUAACAAAAGUCUAGCACUGAGCUACGGCCAAUUCAUCCAUUAACAGGUUCAAACAAGCAUGGCAAAAACGCAAAUGGUAAAACAGAUCUCAGACUUAGUGAAAUCAACACUUGUCUGGAAUUUCAGAUCACGAAGCCCUCUUCGGAGCAGAAAAACAACAUGAUACAUAACCUGAUUAAGACACGUAAGAACAUGGCAUGGAGCUACUCAACAAGCUUAACAAAAGACCCAAAGUGACCUGGGGCCAAAAGGGUUCACAAAACAUACUAACGGGCACACGAACAUAGCUAAAACACAAUCAGUUUUCAGACUUAGUGAAAACUGAGACAUGCUGAAAUAUAACUCACGAAGGCAUGUAAACGAGCUCGAUGCACUCACUACGGUGCAAGUCAUGGCAAGGCAAGCAUACAUCCAUUAAGAAGGCACAAAAUGCUAGCUAGACAUGGCAAGAACAAAGGCAUAGCAUGCACGAAUCAACUACAAUAGCAUCGGCAAAAUCACAAACGAGUUGACGAUCUGCCCAGAUUCACCACGAAGCAAAAGUAGAACUCGAUUGACUCAAGCUAGGGUGCUCCAAAAUUGCAAACAAAGACAUGAAUGGAUAGAGAAUAACAAGGUUAACAAAACUCCUUUACUGAUCAUCCUCAAAAGAGGCAUGGAUCACUAGGAAACAAGCUGAACAUAUGGCAUCAUGAACUAAAUAAUCCCAGACUUAGUGAAAACUACUAAGUCCCAGAAAACAGAUUUACCGGGUGCCUCACUUUGCAAGCUUGCACAAGUCACCAUACACAUCCUAAAAAUGCAUGGAUUGCACCUCUGGAAAGAUAACAAGAUGCUUAACAAAACAUAUGAAGGACUCACAGGCAUAUUAUGCACACAAUAAUCAUGGCAAAAAUGACAAAAAUCUAAGAUGAACUAGCAGAUCUGACAAUUAACUCACGAAGCCCUCUUCUAACAGCAUUUCGGGCAUCAAGAUGAGCUCUAAUGAAAAUGAUGCAAUGGAAUGAAAUGAUGUACUCAUCGAGGCGAACAUUUUUAUAUACUAUAUGUCCAAAACGGAGCUACGGAUGCGGAGAUAUAGCUGGUCAAAGUAAGCAUAAAAAAUUAGAGGGAGAGGGGGAAAAGUCAACCCUAGGGUUUUUUAGAUCUGGAUCUGGCGCGCACGGACUUCGAGGCACGCCGGAGUUCACUGUUCACCGCCGAAGACCGUGGCGGCCGGAGCUCGUGGGGCUGCGAGGGAGGCCGAAGGAGAGGCCGGGGNNNNNNNNNNNNNNNNNNNNNNNNNNNNNNNNNNNNNNNNNNNNNNNNNNNNNNNNNNNNNNNNNNNNNNNNNNNNNNNNNNNNNNNNNNNNNNNNNNNNNNNNNNNNNNNNNNNNNNNNNNNNNNNNNNNNNNNNNNNNNNNNNNNNNNNNNNNNNNNNNNNNNNNNNNNNNNNNNNNNNNNNNNNNNNNNNNNNNNNNNNNNNNNNNNNNNNNNNNNNNNNNNNNNNNNNNNNNNNNNNNNNNNNNNNNNNNNNNNNNNNNNNNNNNNNNNNNNNNNNNNNNNNNNNNNNNNNNNNNNNNNNNNNNNNNNNNNNNNNNNNNNNNNNNNNNNNNNNNNNNNNNNNNNNNNNNNNNNNNNNNNNNNNNNNNNNNNNNNNNNNNNNNNNNNNNNNNNNNNNNNNNNNNNNNNNNNNNNNNNNNNNNNNNNNNNNNNNGGCUCCCGGGCCGCGGCGGCGGGGUCAGACGAGCGCCACGUGGUGCGGCUUGAUUGGCGGCGGCGAUUUCGUCCGCUAGGAGGCGGACAUGUCCGGCGGCGGAGGGAUGAAUUUUUAGGGUUUCGGGGAGAGGGGAGAUCCGAAAACGGAUGGGUCUUUAAAUAGGCAUAGAGGGAGCUAGGAGAGUCCAAAUAAGGUGCGGUUUUCGGCCACGCGAUCGUGAUCGAACGCUCUAGGACAUGGAGCAGAGUUUGGUGGGUUUUGGGCCAAAAUGGAGGGGUGUUGGGCUGCAACACACACGAGGCCUUUUCGGUCCCUCGGUUAACCGUUGGAGUAUCAAACGAAGUCCAAAUGAUACAAAACUUGACAAGCGGUCUACCGGUAGUAAACCAAGGCCGCUUGGCAAGUCUCGGUCCAAUCCGGAAAUGUUUAAUCCUCACACAUGAAAGAAAGCUAGAAAUGACCACCGGAGGAGAACGAAGCGCCGGAAUGCAAAACGGACAACGGGAAAAAAGCUCGAAUGCAUGAGACGAACACGUAUGCAAAUGCAAUGCACAUGACGACAUGAUAUGAGAUGCAUGAAAACGAAAACAACACACAGAGACAAAGACCCGAACCCGAGAAAUAAAUAUAACUUAACGCCGGAAACGGCAAGAGUUGGAGUACAAAUUGGGAAAGUUAUAUCCGGGGUGUUACAACACUCCACCACUACGAAAGGAUCUCGUCCCGAGAUCUAGGACUGAAAGAACGCCGGGUACUCAGAACGGAGGUGAUCCUCGCGUUCCCAGGUAGCUUCAUGGUCGGAAUGGUGUGACCAUUUGACUUUGAGAAAUUUGAUUGACUUGUUGCGAGUCUUGCGUUCAGUCUCUUCAAGAAUAGCAACUGGGUGCUCACCAUAAGAGAGAUCUUCUUGGAGCUCAACAUCCUCGAAGUUGACUGUGCGGUCAGGAGUCUUGAAGCACUUUCGAAGCUGAGAGACAUGGAACACGUCAUGAACAUUUGCAAAGUUUGAAGGAAGCUCGAGUUGAUAGGCGAGGUCGCCUCUCUUGCUGACAAUCUUGAAAGGUCCCACGUAUCUGGGGCAAGCUUCCCUUUGAUACCGAAGCGACGAGUACCUUUCAUAGGAGAGACGCGGAGGUAAACAUGAUCUCCAAUCUCGAAAGCCAAAUCACGGUGCUUACUAUCAUAGUAGCUCUUCUGGCGGGAUUGGGCUGCUUUGAGGUUAUCACGAAUGACUUUGCACAUUUCUUCUGCUUCUGUGAUUAAGUCAUUACCCAGCAGCUGACGUUCACCGGUUUCAGACCAGUUGAGAGGGGUACGGCACUUCUUGCCAUACAGAAUUUCAAAUGGGGUCUUGCCCGAACUUGCUUGAAAACUAUUGUUGUAGGAGAAUGCAGCAUAAGGAAGACAAUCCUCCCACUUCAUGCCGAAGGAGAUCACACAAGCCCUGAGCAUAUCUUCAAGAAUCUGGUUGACACGCUCGACUUGACCGCUUGUUUGAGGAUGAAAAGCUGUGCUGAAGCGGAUGUUGGUGCCCAUGGCCUUAUGGAAAGAAUUCCAAAACUUGGAGGUAAAGAUGCUGCCACGGUCUGAAGAGAUCACUUGAGGAAUACCGUGCAGAGAGACAAUACGAGAGGUAUAGAGUUCCGCCAAUUGAGCUGCAGUGAUCGACUCUUUGAUAGGCAGAAAGUGAGCCACUUUGGUGAGUUUGUCGAUGACAACAAAUAUAACAUCAUUGACAUGCAUGGACUUUGGAAACCCAGUCACGAAGUCCAUCUUAAUGUGGUCAAACUUCCAUUCUGGAAUGGCAAGAGGUUGGAGGAGACCAGCUGGCCUUUGGUGUUCUGCCUUCACUCUUCUGCAAACAUCACAUUCAUUCACGAAUUGAGCGAUCUCGCGCUUCAUUCGAGUCCACCAAUAAACUUGCUUAAGGUCCUGAUACAUCUUCGUGCUCCCAGGGUGGAUGGAGAGGAGAGAAUUGUGAGCCUCGUUCAUGAUCACUUUACGGAGGUCACCUUUGGGCACAACAAUACGAUCCUCGAAGAAGAGAGUGUCCUUGUCAUCAAGGCGGUAGCACUUGUACUUGGACUGACUCUUGGCAAUCCCAAUCUUCACCUUUUUCACCAUAGCAUCAAGAAGCUGGGCUUGCCGAAUCUGGUCUUCUAAGGUAGGAGAGAUUUGAAGGUUGGCGAGGAAACCUUGAGGAACAACUUGCAGAUUCAGUUUGCGGAAAGCUUCACAAAGCUCGGGUUGAUAAGGCUUAAGAAUCAGACUGUUGCAAUACGUCUUUCUGCUCAAAGCGUCAGCAAUCACAUUGGCCUUGCCUGGAGUAUACUUGAUACUCGGAUUAUACUCUUGAAUCAUUUCGACCCAUCGAGUUUGUCUGAGGUUGAGAUUAGGCUGAGUGAAGAUGUACUUGAGACUCUUGUGAUCAGUGAAAAUGUCCACUUUUCUUUCCAAUAGAAGAUGUCUCCAAGUCAAAAGAGCAUGCACAACUGCCGCCAACUCGAGAUCAUGAGUGGGGUAGUUCUUCUCAUUAGGCUUCAGCUGGCGAGAUGUAUAAGCAACAACUUUCUUCUCUUGCAUCAAUACUGCGCCAAGACCUUGGAGAGAGGCAUCACAAAAGACCUCAUACGGCUUGGAUUCAUCAGGCGGAGUCAGAACUGGAGCAGUGAUCAAUUUCUCUUUCAAAGUGUUGAAAGCAAUAUCACACUCCGGAGACCAAAUGUACUUGACGUGCUUCUGAAGAAGAUUUAAGAGAGGCUUCGCGAUCUUAGAAAAGUUUUCAACGAAUCUUCGGCAAUAGCUUGCGAGACCGAGAAAACUGCGGAGUUGCUUCAUGUUCUGAGGAGGUUUCCAAUUCACAAUUGCAGACACCUUCUCAGGAUUCACGGCAAUGCCCUUGGCAGAGAUGAUAUGACCAAGAUAAAGAACCUCAUCAAGCCAAAAUUCACACUUGGAGAACUUGGCGUAGAACUGAUAUUCUCUGAGCUUAUCGAGAACCAAACGCAAGUGCUUGGCAUGAUCUUCCUUGUUCUUGGAGAAAACCAAAAUGUCGUCGAGAUAGACCAAAACGAAGUCAUUGGUGUAGGCGUUGAAGAUGAAGUUCAUAAUGCGAGAGAACGUCGGAGGAGCGUUGGCGAGGCCAAAAGACAUGACAGUGUAUUCAUAUGAACCAAAGCUUGUUCUGAAUGCUGUCUUGGGAAUAUCUUCUUCACGAAUGCGAAUGUGGUGAUAAUCCAUACGGAGAUCAAGCUUGGAGAAUACUUGGGCGCCUUUAAGUUGUUCGAACAGCUCAUUGAUGUUGGGAAGUGGGUAUUUGUUCUUGAUGGUCUUCUUGUUCACUGGACAGUAAUCAACACAAAGUCGAUCCGUUCCAUCCUUCUUCUUCACAAAAAGAACACCACAACCCCACGGAGAAGAACUAGGCCGGAUGAGACCCAUUUUCUCUUGCAUAUCGAGUUGCUUUUUCAGCUCUUUCAACUCUUCAGGUCCGAGCUUAUAAGGACGUUUGCACACAGGUUCCGUACCAAGCUCAAGAUCAAUAACGAAUUCAACUGGCCGGUGCGGAGGCAUUCCUGGGAGCUCUUCUGGAAAGACGUCUUGAUAUUCGCAAACGACUGGAAUUUUAAAGAUGGCAUCCAAUUCACCCUUCUCAUUGAGAGAAAACAGACGAAUAGUAUCAUCACGAGCGGCAAAGACAAUUACAUCCUCAGACGAAUGAGUCAAUUGAAUCUGCCUGGCUGCACAAUCAAGCUGAGCCUUGUGCUUAGAAAGCCAAUCCAUUCCGAGAAUAAGAUCAAUAUCCGAGUUACCAAGAACCACCGGAGAAGAGAGAAACUUGUAAUCGCCCAACGUGAUAGAGACAUCGGGAGCAACCAAACUAGAAGUCAAAAGCUUGCCGGGAGAAACAACUUGCAUGACUUUGGGCAUAAUCUCGGUAUCAACAUUGUGCUUCGAUGCAAAAGGGCAUGACAAAAAGAAAUGCGAUGCACCAGUGUCAAAAAGAACUUUUGCAGGAACAUCGUUAAUAGGAAGGUUACCCGUUAUCACAUCUGACGAGUCCUCUGCCUGAGUUGCAUUCAUCAAAUUGACCUUGGCAUGCUUGGGGUUAUGCUUGACCACAGAUGUACUUGCCGAUCUGACAGGAGGAGAAGGAGGAAGACGCCUCUGGUUGAAACACUUGUUGGCAUAGUGACCCUUCUAUUGGCACUUGUUGCACGUGACCUCUGAAAGCGGACGGUGAUAUGGAGCACUCGAUCUUGGAGCUUGAGACAAAGUCUUGUUCUGAAAGCCAGGGUUGGGUGGGUGGGAAGAACCACUGCCACCUUUGCUCUUCUGCUAAUACGGCUGACGGAACGGAGGAGGAGGAAGCCAAAACUUCUGCUGCUUGGCCACUUGAGUAGAGGAAGAAGGAGUAACAUCUCUGACUCGCUUCCUGGAAGCAUCACACCUCAACUGAGCAGCCUCUUGCUUCAGUGCCAUAUUGUAGAACUCAUCGUAUCUCAAGGGCUCGAAGAGAACAAGAGCGAGCUGAAUAUCUUCUCUGAGACCACCCCUGAACUGAUAUAUCAUGCUCUUCUCAUCAGGGACGUCCUGCUUGGCAAAACGGGCGAGUUUCUGGAACAACUUGUUGUAGUCAUAGACAGACAAAGAGCCUUGCUUCAGAUUGCGGAAUUCCUCACGCUUGCUUUCAACCACGCUCUGCGGAAUAUGAUGAGCUCGGAAAUCUCGACGGAAAUCAUCCCAAGUGAUAACAUGUCCACCUCUGGAAUCCUUGUACUGCUGGAACCAUUCUGCAGCUUGAUCUUUGAGUUGGAAGGAAGCGAACUUGACAAAGUCCUCAGGCCUGACGUUACUGCACUCGAAAUGCUUACACAGAUCCACAAGCCAAUCGUCAGCAUCGGUUGCCUCAACACAAUUGCUGAAAGUCUUUGGCCCGUUAGCAAGGACUGGUUAAGUGUAGCAAAGUGACUCUGAUUGCUGCCUUGAUUCCCAUGACUGCCUUGAUUGCGUUCUUGAAGAAUUUGCAUGAUCAGCUGUGUGUUUGCAUUGGUUGCGGCCAUCACAGCUUGCCAUGCCUCUGAAGGAGGUGGAGGUGGUGAUGGAUCAGGAUUCGGAGUCGUGCGUGUUGGAGGAGCCAUCCUGAAGAGGUUGGCCACCAUUAGCACAAUGAUAGACAAUAUUGAAGCUGAAUCCAACGGAAUGAAAAUUGCAACAUAUAGUCUUCACAUCCGAACAAAAUGAACGAAUGCAUUCCUCUUGAAAUGGUCACAUAUCCAUAAAUUGAGAAGCCACAUAGAGUUAAGGUAGAGAAAAAAUCAACAAGGUACGGAUCAAGAACGAAUAAUCGGUAAGAAAUCCCAAUCUCAAACCAAUAUCCGUGGAAGAAGAACUAGAGCUACUAGAAUUCCCAUCUAUGAAACUCCCGAACCUUUCCGAUUAUGCAAUCAUGUGUUGGGGAUACAGGGGAAGCAUAAUAACUCACCCAAACUAGCAAAUCCUACAUCCAGUUGUAUCCAUCCUUCAACACAUAACCAAGAAACCUUCGGAAACCAUCUACCUCAACCUUCGAAAAGCAUCCGUUAUACAAGUUAUGGCGAUACUCCCGAACUCCCGCCCCAGUACUGGGUGGCGUCGAGGUUAUCUCACCAACGAACUGCAUAAAAGAGAUUUUCGAUGUCGGCGAAAAUAUCUCAAGUAUUUCAGAAUUGCAACGAUAAAAUUAUGAUGACAACACCUCAGAGCUCAACUCCCCGGGACACUUCCACUAAAUCCCUGACAGGAGGCACCAAGACAAUGUUCUCAUCAUAAGCCAUCGGAACGAUUUCAAGAUACUCGCGUGAUCCUAAAAAAUUUUUUAGUGAAAUUUGAGAAGAGAAGAGUCAAAACUCUACGUCAGGAUGCCUUACCAGAGCGAUGAGGAGACUGGGAAGUAAAAAAAAUUCCUAAACUCUCCGAUAUAUAAUUCCUAAAAGACUCAAAACAUUUUUCUAGACACAACUCGGCCGCUAAAAACGAUCAAGCAAUGGAGCCCAAGGGUCAUCUUAUUUUAAACCCCCCCGGGCCAGUGCUCCUCUGAGUGUUGGUCCGACCGAGUAGACUGCGGGGCCACCUCGGGGCAAUUUGAGGGUUGGUUUUACUCGUAGGAUGUCUCAUCUGAGUGUGCCCUGAGAAAGAGAUAUGUGCAGCUCCUAUCGAGAUUUGUCGGCACAUUCGGGCGGUGUUGCUGGUCUUGUUUUAACCUGUCGAAGUGUCUUGAGUUACCGAGAUACCGAGUCUAAUCGGAACAUCUUGGGAGGAGGUCUAUUCCUUCGUUGACCGUGAGAGCUUGUCACGGGCUAAGUUGGGACUCCCUUGCAUGGAUUGAACUUUCGAAAGCCGUGCCCGCGGUUAUGGGCAGAUGGGAAUUUGUUAAUGUCUGGUUGUAGAUAACUUGAACCUUAAAUUAAUUAAAAUGAAUCAAUCGAGUGUGUUACCGUGAUGGCCUCUUCUCGGCGGAGUCCGGGAAGUGGACACGGUGUUGGAGUAAUGUUUGUGCAGGUAGCUCUCUAGUUUCUCGCUCGCGCUUUGCCUCCUCUUCUCGCUCUCCUUUGCGAAUAAGUUAGCCACCAUACUUGCUAGUCGCUUGCUGCAGCUCCACAUAUGUUUUGCCUUACCCUUCCUAUAAGCUUAAAUAGUCUUGAUCGCGAGGGUGCGAGAUUGCUGAGUCCCUAUGGCUCACAGAUACCAUAACUCCAGAUGCAGGUCCAGGUGAUUCCGCUCCAGGUGACGAGUACGAGCUCAAGUGGGAGUUCGACGAAGACUCUCAGCGAUACUAUGUUUCCUUUCCCGAUGAUCAGUAGUGGUGCCCAGUUGGGGGUGAACGGGACCGUUGUCGCAUGUUGGGUUCUUUUUUAUUUUGGCGCCGUAGUCGGGCCAUGAGUGUUUUGGAUGAUGUAAUGUUAUUUAUGUAUUUGAUUGACGUGACGAGUGUAAGCCAACUAUGUUAUCUCCCCUUUUAUCAUUAUAUUACAUGGGAUGUUGUGAAGAUUGCCUAACUUGCGACAUAUGCCUUCAAUGCGAUUAUGUCCCUAAGUCGUGCCUCGACACGUGGGAGCUAUAGUCGCAUCGAGGGUGUUACAACGUGCUAUUGGAUUGAUACCAACCUACUACAAAAAGUGGUGUGCGUGCAUUGAAGGACUAUGGAUGUCAACGAGGGAGUGAUGGAUGAAUACAAGACUGCAUGGUUUAGCAAAUUCAUUGGUUUUGGAGAAUUGUGGUAUUGUAUUUCACUAAAAUGUACUAGGCGAACGUAUAUGAAGAGACCAAUUAGCAAGCAAUAUGGAUAUAGUGAAAUGCUACUAGCUUCAUGUAAACAAAGAUAUGCUACACCAUCACUAAAAUCAUUUUCAUACCCCCUUAAAUAUCGCAAAGAAAGAUGAAUGGGCGUAGCUCAGUUUGUUAGGUUACUUGUGCUCAAACAAAUCCAUCCGAGUUCGAGUUUUAGACUUGACAUGGGUGCUCGUAGUUUCCUCCUGAAUUUAUUCCAAACUUUCCGACGAUGUUUGUUCAGUGAAAUACGAACAUCCCGUUGAUUACAUGGGGCCUCUGGUGACUUUGCCAAUUUGAAGAUUUGUCUGCUUAGUCUCUCAUAAAUGAUCAUAUGGGUAUGGUAUGUGUGUAAGCACUCAUAGGGAUGAGUCUGUGUGCGUGUGUGUAUGUUUCGCAAAAAAUAAUAUCAAAAGAAUACAACAUGAACAUGAUAAACAUUGUGCUGACAAAAAAGUCAUCCUCCAUAUGUCAAUCAUUUGCCCUUCCAAUUGCUAAGCGUUUGUCUCGAACUGGUCUUCUAUCCCUUCCACUAACGCGAGCGCCUACUCCUCGUCCUCAUCCGCGUCCUUCAUGGUAAUAUUUGCCAUGGCCACGGGGUUGCCAUCGUCCUCAUCUGCCUCCUCCAUGGUGAUCUCUAUCAUGGCCAUAGGCUCUCCCUCCUCCUCCUCCGGAGAGCUCGUGGAUUGGCCCUAAUGCAUGCCUGGCAUCGGGCCUCCAUGCCGCGGACCUUUGUGCGAUUUGGUUGCAACGCCAUGGCAAACAGUGAACGAUGGACGAGGAUGCGAAGGGGUGAGAAGGGAUGGUUGAACAGCGGCUCGGACGGUAGGAGAAGAGUUUGGAGGGGUAGGGUUUUGGGGUGUGGCGGGCCGGUUUAAAUAGCCGGGGUAGGCGGAGCGGCAGGUUGAAUGUGAGUACCAGCUGGAGUAGGCUUCUCAGUUGUUAUGCCGGUGUGAAUGUCGGGUGGGUGGACGGCCGGCUCUCAGCCGUCAUGUCCGCUCUGACUGGCAUGAAUGCCGCGUGGAGAGAGGGUUCUAGAACGAGCGGGCGCGACGAGAAAGGAUCUUUUGGGUGGGGCUGCCUUGUCGGAGUCCGACAUGGUGGACAUUCAAACUCUCCAAACCUUUUAGUUUGGUGUUGGUUUUGCGGGAUUUUGGACGUUCGGACCGGUCCGAACAAGUUUGAUGACCACUGUUGGAUAACUAAAGUGUCUACACGAUCCGAUCAGGACAUUUGCAUGAGGUUUGGCGAUCCGCGCUAAAGCAAAAAACUAUAUGUUCUACUCCCUCCAAUGUGUACUGUUGCAAGAUAAAUGUAAACUUGUCGCAACUGAUUGUAGGUGCUUUUGUUUCGGUACACUUUAAACUAAAACCAUGAUAAGAAUUAUGAAAAAGGGGAAUAUUUUUGAACGAAAAUAGCUACUCCCUCCGAUCUAUAUUAUUUAUCGUUGGUUUAGUACAAAGUUGCAAAGGGGUGUGCCAAAACAAAAGCUACAUAUUAUUUCUUGAACGAAAUAGUUAUAUAUUAUCGUCACACAUGUCUGGACAAGACAAUAAGUGGCAGCAGGCAUCAAAGAUGAAGCUCUCCGUCUGCCCGUGCUACGUAGCUGUCCAGCACUGUCCACUGAACUUGAUCCUCUCCAUUGUUCAGCAACGUGAGGUACAACUGAAGGAAACUGGCCAUAUUCCAGCAACGGCGAGCAGUUGAGAAGAGUCCGGAGACAGCGUCCGAUCAGAGGCCACUCCGUGAGUGCAGUGCCAGCAAAACAGCGACGUUUGAGAAUCAUGUCGAAUCACGAAAACCUAUCCAUUGAUGUGCUCUACUCACGUUCACGCAAGAGGGCUUGUAAAAACGUAGACGACGUUCUAAUCUAGGCUGGUCCCGUCGCUACCACUCUAGCUUGACGCCAUGUAUGGAUACACUGCAGCGGACACGGCGCCCUCACCAAUCAUCUCUACGGCCAGCGGCGCACGCGCACGUUCUGGUACUCCACCUCCUCUUUCGCCUUCUGCCGGUAGCCGCCCCCGCACCGUACGUCCCGGCGGCAACGUGGAGCGGCCAGCCUCGAUGCGUGCAUGCGUGGAUGAUCAACGAAUGACGGGCGGCAAUGGCGUGGAGAAACAGUGCGCGGCCGUGAGAAGUGCUGCUUCCGUUGGGUCACAUGCACGCGUUGCCGGCCGGGAAAGGUCCGUCCGCCCUGGAGCAAUGGAGGAUCGCAUGCAGAUGCAGGACGAGUGGACGGACGCACACCGGAGCCGAGCAAGUGACGGGCACGCAUGAGUCACGGUCUAUGAAGCGGCCACUGACGCCGACAGGGCUCCGGUGGCGGUGCGCGCGUGGCCCAGUGGCUCUCGCGAUCGUCUCAGAUCCGCCUUUCGGGAGGCCGAUCGCGGAGACGAGCGGCUUGUGGCUUGCUGGCAACGGCGAUAAUGUGGGAUUCCAGAUCAAAUCAAAGGUGACGCCAGUUGUGCCUGCCCAAUGUGGCCUCUUGCAGUUGCAGCCCUCGACGAUGUGACGUGGAAGGCAAUGAUAUAUUUCCGAGGGACGUGUAUGGGGGUUCGGUAAGGUGAUGGAGAGUUUCUUUCUUGGUGAGGUAGUAGGAGUAGUGGCGAUCCGCGAUGCGAGUACAUGUGGGUGGAUACUGGAUAGAGCCGGAGAUCGCCAUGAGCUCCUGAGGCUGCACUUUUCCGUUGCCUGAUUCAGAUAGGCAGAUAUAUAUAUGCCCACUGGUGGUACUCGAACCUGCCGGCCCUGCAGCUAGAGUGGCCAAGUGGCCAUACAUCGGCCGUGAGUGAGGUACUGAGGUGCCAUCCAUGUCCAUCCUGGGUGGCUGGAUUCCUGGCCAUAUGCCUUCGACGAUCCUGAGGCGAGAGUGACGCCUUGCGCAAAGUUACUUUCGGGCCUUGCAAGUUUGUUCUUACAUUGGUCUUUGAACGUUUUAACAGUCUUUUUUCAUGGACGUCGAUAUUUUGGACCAAACGCCUCUAUCAGCACACAUCGCGUCACGUCAUCGCAUACAUGCAUAAGUGAUGAAGCUGAUGAUGUCAGCGGAUAUCUUUUGCAUUAUCAGUUUUUGAAAUGUUUUAUCUCUUAAUGAAAAUUUUGAUUGAAAAACUGUUUUUAUUAUUAAAUCUGUCGCGACGAGAUCUUCGAAACUAGAUCCCAUAUCAAUAUGUUUUGACGACUUUUUUUUGUUAAAAAUUGUCAUUUUGUUUCACAUAAAUUGUCAUGGUGUUUAUACAGAAAUUGCCAUGAUAUAUUUCAACUAUUUUUCUCCUACGUUUAAAGUAAUUUUGACAUGUUAUAAAGAAAGGAAAUUAAGAAACUAAAUUUGCCAUGGUGUAUUACUAAAAUUUGCCAUGAUCCAUAGAUAAUUUUGACAUGGUUCAUAACUAAAAAGAAAUUCGUCGUCUAUUACUUUAAAAAUGCAUGGUCAAUGACUCAAAUUUGCCAUGAACCAAACUAAAAUUGCCAUGAUGAAUUAGAUAAAUUUAUCAUGAUACAUGCACUAAAAUUUGCCAUGGUUCAUAAAAAAAAUCAUGGUCGAAAUACUAAAAUUGCCAUGAUCUAUAAACUAAAAUUGUUUUGAUCUACAAACUAAAUUUGUCAUGAUGAAUUACUAAAGAUUGCCAUGAUCCAUUAAUUAAAUUUGCCAUGGUUAAUAACUAAAAUUUGCCAUGGUCAAUUAAUAAAUUUACGGUGGAAGUAGUUGAAAUACAAUGGUACCUUUAAAUCUAGAAGAAAAAAUAUAGAUAAAACAUAUCAUGGCAACUUUAGUAUAAACACUAUGGCAAUUUUAGUAUAACAUCAUGGCAAGUUUUGGCCAAAAAGUCGUUGAAACAUAUCAAUAUGAGAUCUAGUUUUGAAGAUCUCGUCGAGACGGAUUUAAUGAUGAAAAUGAUUUUUAAUUGGACUCUUUAUUGAAGAAAUAAAAUAUUUUUUAGUCCAAAAACCAAAAACAUUCCACUGAUGUUUUUUGUUUGAUAUGGCAAAAUGGAUGAUAAUGAAGGCGUUUGGACCAUGUUAUUUCGUGUCACGCGUGUGGCACUUAUCAUUUGGGUCUUUCAUAGUCAAACAAUCUGACAUUACAGAUUAAGUGUAAAGUUAUGAGAUGUUAGGUCUUAGGUGGUCGCUUGGAGGGGGAGGAAGGAUGGCUCCUUUUCUUCACAGUGAUCAUGCAUCGUGGCUUUAAAUCGUUUUUACUUUCAUAGUUGUAACCAAAGACAUUGUGGUUCUUUUUAAUAGAAAUAUGAGGGGGGCUCUUUUAAAAUAAAAAAAGGAGUGUAAAGCUGUGGUAGAUUGAAAAAAAAAAGAAGACAAGGAACAUUGAAGGUCACAAAGUUACAUAAACGUGCUCUCAGGCUCUAUCAAUCGUUUCACGGUUUUGUUCUGAGCAUCCUAUAGUGAAAUCGUACAAAAUCAUAGCUGUACAAAAAAGGUUAAUCUCAAAUAUAAGACAAAAGCCCCUAUUUAAAAGGUUUUUUGGCUCCUAAACCGAAGUGAAAAAAUUGAAGCAUAAGCUCAAACAAACAGUGCCUAAAUAGCCUCCUGAGUGAUCCACCAUAAGAUGUGAAAAUAUUAGACCAUUUAAAGUACUUUGGUCGAGGACACAUCCACACAUCCACUUAAAGCAGAUAAUCGAGUCGUUGCUUCAAUGUCGAGAUACCCAGGAAGAAGACUAUAUGAUCACGGUAUGAAAAAUAAUACGUAUGAGAAAUCAAAGCACCAUUAGCUCUCUAACGUUGGCUACAAACAUCAUGUCAGAAUGGGGAUGGAGCCAAGAGAACACUUAUUCCACACAAGAGAACCUCCACCAUCAAGACAAUGUCGCUGAGGAGACACAAAGCUAACAUAGAAAGACUUGAUCCACUCUGAAAGCAAAUAUUUGAGUUGUCCCCACCUACUUAGGACACAGAUUCUUGGAUGAGCAAGAGAAAAAUUCUUUAGCAAGAUAUAGGUCGAGCAGAGAUCCUAGCCAGACACGGACGAUGUUAGAUCAAUAGUUCUAUGGUGCCAACUCUACCGGGCCAGGUUCAUUUGUUACAAACGAAUUCAAUUUUUAAUCAAUCUAAUGAAAUUUUUGCCAAGUUCAUUAGGUUCAACUGACCCCACAGGUUGCUCCGUCCAGCAGAGACGAAUUGAAUCUAUUGAGUAUACGGACUAAGCUAGAAUGGGCACGAUAUGAACCCAAGGGUAUUUGUACCCACUUUUCAAAAAAUGCAUUUCAAGUAUGUUUUAAAAUCUCAAAAAAAUCAAAAGAAAAUUUCAUGCAUACAUGUUCACAAAUGUAUGUGCGUGCUGCAAAGUUUUGUGAAAAAAUGUCUUUUUAUUUUGUCUCCCUAAAAAAGACAAAUUUCAGUGCUUCUAAAUAGUGUUUCAUGACAUAAUUUUUUGCCUUUUUUACACAUGUCACAAAAAAAGUUAUUUUUCUGUGAAAGUUUAUGCAAGCACAUAGAACAUGAACACAUACCCAUGCCAUCUUUUCGGAUAUUUUUACCAUUUAGAAAUGUAUUUUUCAAAGUGGGUUCAUAUGUAUCCGGAUUCAUCCAUGCUCUUCCCCACGAAGCUAGACCAAUUGUCAGCUCUAUUGAGCUGGGUUCAUUUGUUACAAAUGAAUAGUAUUGUUUACAGAUUUAGUGAAGAGAUUGUUCAAUUCAUUGUACUCAACUAACCUUAGUGCAUAUAAGGCACCUCCGUCCCCAUUAGAGCAGAGAAUAAUAUCUUGAGUAAAAUUUGUUUCAAACCUUUAACUUGAGGUGCUAGUCUAAAUUGAACCUCAUCUCCUAACACCUAAAAAUCAGCACCCUACGAAUGGAAUUCAAAGAGAUAAUUACACCUACGGUCCUCGUAUUCUUCGGCAUGUAACACAACGGUCUCGGGACUCGCGGAAUGCUCCACUACGGUCCUCAAAUACGAGGAUUCGCUCCAAUACGGUCCUGGCUACGUCUCACUCUAUGCCUCGCGCCCAGCCAGGUGCCACGUCAGUGUACAGUAGAUGCAUGGGCCCCCAUGUCAGCAUAGGAGAGAGAAAAAAAGGGAAAACAAAAUGCUACGCCGAGGAUCGAACUCGAGACCCCUGCGUAAGAGAGCAACCGAUCUAGCCACCACGCCGACAUGUCAAUGACGUACAACUGGCAGCAAAAACAAAUUGGAGCAACUAUACAUAUCGCUCGCUUAUAACAGGGCCGGCCCAGUAGCGUAUCUCUAUUUCUUUUUUCUCGAAUCUUCAAGCGAUUUUCCUGUGCAUUUCUUACCGGUUUUCUUUUUAAUUUUCCCCAGGUUUAUGUUUAUUUUCCCCAUAUAAAAAUAAAAUAAUUAUAAAUAUACAAUUAUUUUCUAUUUUAAAUCUUUAUUCUAUUUUCAUUAUUGUGUGCCUUGAAGACAUAAACAUUAGCUUUUUCUAAAAUUUAUAUGGAUUUAAAUAAAAUAAAUUAUAAGAAAAUUUAUGUAUCUUCAUUCAUGACCACAAACACGCAUUAUUUUGUAUCCUCAUUGUAUUAACAUACAUAAUAAUUUUAAAAAUUAACAAAGUAUAUUUUGAAUAAUGUUCAGCAUGGUUUUGGAAAAUGGUUAUCAUUUUGCCCUAUUAUAUGCCCAAUGACCGGUUUUAUUUUUAUCUCUUCCAGUUUAAAAAAAGAAAUGUAAGAAGAAAUUACAAUAAUUACUAAUAAACAAUUAUUGUGUAUUUUAAUAUUCAUUGUGUUUUCCUUAUUGAGUAACUUGAAGAGGUAAACAUGUUUUUUUUAAUUUACUUUAAUAUAAAAACCGGUAGUCGGGCAUAUAAUUGGGCAAAAAUAUAACCAUUUUGUGACACCAUGCUGAAUAUAAUUCAAAAAUACACGUUGCCAAUUUUUCAAAUAUUUGUGUAUUUUAAAUAUACAAUGAAGAUACACAAUAAUUGCGCGUGUUUGUGGUCCUGAAUGAACAUACAUAAAUUUUUAUGACAUUUUUUUAAAUCCACAUAAAUUUUGGAAAAAGUUCAUGUUUACGUCUUCAAGGUACAAAUUAAUGAAAAUAUAAUAAAUAUUUAAAAUACACAAUAAAUGUAUUCUUUUAUAUGGAAAAAAUGAAGUUUAAAAAUAGAAAGAUAAAAUAAACACGAACUUGGUAAAAAAAAGGAUAGAAUAUGCAUCAGGAAAAUCACUUGAAGAUUAAAAAAAGGGGGUACGGUAUGCUACUAGGCCGGACCAAUUAUAUGAAAAUAAAUUAAAGAUUUAAAAUACACAGAAAUUGUAUAUUAAUAAUGAUUAUAUUUUUAUAUGGGAAAAUUAAACAUAAGCAUGGGUAAAAAUAAAAAUGAAACCGGUAGGCAACGUACAGGAAAAUCGCUGGAAGAUUCGAAAAAAGUAGAAGAGAUACGCUACGCUACUGGGCCGGGUCAGUAUGUGCGCAAGCGAAAGCUAGCGAUAUAUGGAACUGCUCUAUAUAGCUUCCUAGCUGAUACGUGAACAGACCCUCAAAAAAAAAAAC